rnacentral:rRNA from 1 species
UCCAGCAGCCAUAUCACCCUGCAACUCACAACUGGCAACCCACUGAAGCUAAGCAGGUGUGAGCCUGGUCAGUACCUGGAUGGGAGACCUCCUGGGAAAAAGGACCCUGCGGUCU